GGAUAUAAGUGCAAUCUAACUGUGACAUGUCACCCCAAUGACCACGAGGGUUAACUUGGCUUAUCUGGCUAGCAAGGUAGGUGUGCCUAGAUGCACUCGCUACUCUGUAUGCAUCUCUCCAUAAACUGCACAUUUGGACAAGGAGGAUAACAUUUCCCAAUAGAGGAAAAUCAUUCUUUAGUCAAGGAUAUACAAAAAAGUAGCUGUACUCCCUUGCUAAAACCUCCCCAAAAGCUCUCAAGACAUAUACACCAAGAAACUUU
rnacentral:snRNA from 1 species